GGAACCCUAGCCGCUGCAGUCCGCCGCCUCCAGCCCUACUUCUUCGCAAUGGCCGCUCCUAGCAAUAUCGAGAAAGAGCAGAUCUUUGUGAUGGCGGAGAAAGAGAUGGAGUACCGAGUAGAACUUUUCAAUAAGCUUGCUCAGACAUGUUAUGACAAAUGUGUGGAGAAAAGAUACAAGGAAUCUGAGCUCAAUAUGGGUGAAAAUAGCUGCAUUGACCGUUGUGUUUCAAAAUAUUGGCAGGUGACCAACUUAGU
rnacentral:misc_RNA from 1 species